GACGAACGCUGGCGGCGUGCUUAACACAUGCAAGUCGAACGGUGAAGCGCCUUCCUUUUUGGUGGGUGUGGAUGAGUGGCGAACGGGUGAGUAACACGUGAGUAACCUGCCCCCUUCUUCUGGAUAACCGCAUGAAAGUGUGGCUAAUACGGGAUAUUCUGGGUCUGUCGCAUGAUGGGUCUGGGAAAGAUAUUGUUUCGGUGGGGGAUGGGCUCGCGGCCUAUCAGCUUGUUGGUGGGGUGAUGGCCUACCAAGGCGGUGACGGGUAGCCGGCCUGAGAGGGUGGACGGUCACACUGGGACUGAGACACGGCCCAGACUCCGACGGGAGGCAGCAGUGGGGAAUAUUGCACAAUGGGCGCAAGCCUGAUGCAGCGACGCCGCGUGAGGGAUGGAGGCCUUCGGGUUGUGAACCUCUUUCGCCAGUGAAGCAGGCCUGCCUCGUUUGUGGGUGGGUUGACGGUAGCUGGAUAAGAAGCGCCGGCUAACUACGU
rnacentral:rRNA from 1 species